rnacentral:rRNA from 1 species
UACGUAGGGGGCAAGCGUUGUCCGGAUUUAUUGGGCGUAAAGAGCGUGUAGGCGGCUAGAUAGGUCCGUUGUGAAAACUCGAGGCUCAACCUCGAGACGUCGAUGGAAACCAUCUGGCUAGAGUCCGGAAGAGGAGAGUGGAAUUCCUGGUGUAGCGGUGAAAUGCGCAGAUAUCAGGAAGAACACCCGUGGCGAAGGCGGCUCUCUGGGCCUGUACUGACGCUGAGGAGCGAAAGCGUGGGGAGCGAACAGG